GCUUGGUUCUUCCAUGGACAAUUGCUGUGCAUAUGACUCUUGUCACAACAAGCAAAGCAGGAAUGUGGUGUUGGGAGUUGAACUUUCAUUGCUGUUUUUUGGUUUGUGGCAUCUGCAAACCACUCAAAAUAUGAGCAGACUGAGCAUCUCAAGAACUUCUCAGCAGGAUGAUCUUCAGUUUGAGAUUUCAACAACUUUCUCACUCCAUUGCAAGGUAUAAAAAGAAAAGUGAAAAUCCGAACGUUGGGAACGGUGAUGAUUUUCCAUGGAAGAACCAAGCCUGCAUCAUACAACAGAGAACACAAAAACUAAAGAAAAAACAAAAAAAAGAAGGUAAAAAAGAAGGAGAAGAAAUUAAUCCGCAACUAGUUGAUCGAUGUAAACAUUGUUGGAAAAUUUACACUGAAACAGGGUAAAGAAAAGAAUGUUGUAUUAGGGUUCAAGGCUCUAAUGAAAGAUUCUUUUCGACAAUUAUUCGACCUUUUCCCAGUUGAAUUGGUGAUGAAUAUCGCCGUCAGGAUAAUUGAAGCCCCACAAUAGUGUUGGAUUCAAAGCUUGUACGACCUUGAUCCAAUUCCAGGAACACAUUGGUUUUGUUUCUGAUGAUGCUUGUAAGAAAGAAAACAUAGAGAGUUGAGAUGUUAUUUUGAAUGGAAAACAAGUCUCAUAUUUAAAGAGGAAAUCACACCCUUUGGAGAUGACUCUUCAUCUCUACAGGCAUCUUUUCAGA